rnacentral:rRNA from 1 species
UACAGAGGGUGCAAGCGUUAAUCGGAAUUACUGGGCGUAAAGCGCGCGUAGGGGGUUUGUUAAGUUGAAUGUGAAAUCCCCGGGCUCAACCUGGGAACUGCAUGCAAAACUGGCAAGCUAGAGUAUGGUAGAGGGUGGUGGAAUUUCCUGUGUAGCGGUGAAAUGCGUAGAUAUAGGAAGGAACACCAGUGGCGAAGGCGACCACCUGGACUGAUACUGACACUGAGGUGCGAAAGCGUGGGGAGCAAACAGG